AGUGAACGCUGGCGGUAGGCCUAACACAUGCAAGUCGAACGGCAGCACAGUAAGAGCUUGCUCUUACGGGUGGCGAGUGGCGGACGGGUGAGGAAUACAUCGGAAUCUACUUUUUCGUGGGGGAUAACGUAGGGAGACUUACGCUAAUACCGCAUACGACCUACGGGUGAAAGCAGGGGAUCUUCGGACCUUGCGCGAUUGAAUGAGCCGAUGUCGGAUUAGCUAGUUGGCGGGGUAAAGGCCCACCAAGGCGACGAUCCGUAGCUGGUCUGAGAGGAUGAUCAGCCACACUGGAACUGAGACACGGUCCAGACUCCUACGGGAGGCAGCAGUGGGGAAUAUUGGACAAUGGGCGCAAGCCUGAUCCAGCCAUACCGCGUGGGUGAAGAAGGCCUUCGGGCUGUAAAGCCCUUUUGUUGGGAAAGAAAAGCAGCAGGUUAAUACCCCGCUGUUCUGACGGUACCCAAAGAAUAAGCACCGGCUAACUUCGUG
rnacentral:rRNA from 1 species